rnacentral:rRNA from 1 species
UACAGAGGGGGCAAGCGUUAUUCGGAAUUAUUGGGCGUAAAGGGCGCGUAGGCGGCCUGGCAAGUGGAAGGUGAAAUCCCUCGGCUUAACCGAGGAACUGCCCUCCAAACUGUUAGGCUUGAGACCGGGAGAGGUGAGUGGAAUUCCCAGUGUAGCGGUGAAAUGCGUAGAUAUUGGGAGGAACACCAGUGGCGAAGGCGGCUCACUGGACCGGUACUGACGCUGAUGCGCGAAAGCGUGGGGAGCAAACGGG